rnacentral:rRNA from 1 species
UACAGAGGUGGCAAGCGUUGUUCGGAAUUACUGGGCGUAAAGGGCGCGUAGGCGGCCUUCUAAGUCAGACGUGAAAUCCCCAGGCUUAACUUGGGAACUGCGUCUGAUACUGGGAGGCUUGAGUGCGGGAGAGGGAUGUGGAAUUCCAGGUGUAGCGGUGAAAUGCGUAGAUAUCUGGAGGAAUACCGGUGGCGAAGGCGGCAUCCUGGACCGGCAUUGACGCUGAGGAGCGAAAGCCAGGGGAGCAAACGGG